rnacentral:rRNA from 1 species
CUACGGGGCGCUCCAGUGAGGAAUAUUGCACAAUGGGGGGAACCCUGAUGCAGCAACGCCGCGUGGAGGACGACGCAUUUCGGUGUGUAAACUCCUUUUAUAUGUCAAGAAAAUGACGGUAGCAUAUGAAUAAGCACCGGCUAACUCCGUGCCAGCAGCCGCGGUAAUACGGAGGGUGCAAGCGUUACUCGGAAUCACUGGGCGUAAAGGACGCGUAGGCGGGCUUGUAAGUCAGGUGUGAAAUCCUACAGCUUAACUGUAGAACUGCACUUGAAACUACGAGCCUAGAGUAUGGGAGGGGCAGAUGGAAUUAGUGGUGUAGGGGUAAAAUCCGUAGAUAUCACUAGGAAUACCUAAAGCGAAGGCGAUCUGCUGGAACAUAACUGACGCUAAGGCGUGAAAGCGUGGGGAGCAAACAGGAUUAGAUACCCCUCGUAGUC